rnacentral:lncRNA from 1 species
GCAAGCAUGACGUCAGCACAGGUGCUUGAGUAUGUCAUCAUCACAGCCUUAGUUAUUAAGAUGGUAGUGAAUUACCACUAAAUAGCGACAGCUCUAAAGACACUGAGCAGCCGCUCUCUGGUGUGCUGCUCUACCAUACAUAAGGAGGAGGGUUAUCAGAUCCUUCACUAAGAAAAGAACAACGUUGUGAUUUGCACAGCUCAUCCCAAAUUCAUAGUGGGUGACAGAAAACUGAAAACUAAGUUAUUUCAGUCCUGAGAGAUUACCAACACAGGAAGACACAUUUGCUCUCUUUUCUAGAUAGCUGUCCCCAGACUUUCUCCUACAGCCUUCCUGAAAACUCUGAAAUGCCGGGAGAUCCAAUUCUAGCCCAUCUGGUUACCUGAUACUAGAACAAAAGGGCAAGCAGACAUACGCCUAACCAGUGAACACUAAACCCAAAUAUUUCUGAACGUCUGGAAGGUUGCGUUUGUCCAGACCUUGACCUUAUCUUUGGGGAUAAAGACUGUCUUCUACUAGACUGAAACAAUGAGAACAAUGAAAACUGCAAACACUUCUGGCUUUCACAGACACAUUUGGAUUUUUCUGCAAACCUUAGUUUUACUCAGUUUUCCUCUGGGAGUAUGAUCUUAAAAGAUUUAUUUUGAGAAAAAAAAGUCUGGAGAACAACCUGUGCAGUCCUAAUGAACCUAUCUGGUACUAAAUGUGGAAUUUCCAAAUGCUUCCUAAGACCAAUCUUGUUAUGGAUUACCUUGUAAUAACGUGAACGCUCCAUCAUAGUUCUAGGGAUCUCACCCACCAACUGUGAAAUAUUCAUCUGAUCCAUCUUCUUGCUAUGAAGAAAGACUACAAUUAUCUCGAUAAUGGCUGGGAAUCUCAUCUGCAACACAAUUAGGAGAACUCACAGUGGCUGGAGAAUCAGUAGUUCUCUGGUCCCAGGAAGAACAGAGGGGUACGAGCAUUUGAUCUGUGAUCUCCACAGAGCCAUGGAGGCUCAAGAUAGCAGAGAUAUUUGCAUCUCUGUGGCACUCCUAUUCAAAACAAAGAGAUAUCUUGUUGGCAGCAACAUGAAAAAUUCGGAGUGGCCAAAACAACCAACAUGUUUAAUUACAUACAUUUUGUGAUGCAAAAGCAAGAGGCGGAAGACACCUCUCUUUAUGUCCAACUGAUACCCAUGACAAAACUUCUACAGCACUACUUGCUACUUCUCCUGUAUAUUAAAAUAUAUAUAUUAAAUAUGAUUAUAUGAAGUACUGACUAGAGAGUUAACUGUGGUACUGUUUUUUUUUUCUUCCAAUCCUUACAUUUUUUG